GGAUCGGGAGCCUCUAUGGUUCUUUGGGAAGGACUAACGUUCUCCCGAAAGGAUAACAUUCUUCGAGAAGGACUUGGCGUUCUCUCGAAAUGACAAAGUUCUUCGGGAAGGACUAGCGUUCUCCCGAGAUGACACCGUUCUUUGGUAAGGAUUUAGCGUUCUUCGAGAAGGACUUAGCGUUCUCUCGAAAUGACAACGUUCUUCGGGAAGGAUUUAGCGUUCUCCCAAAAAGAUAAAGUUCUUUUGGGAAGGACUAACGUC
rnacentral:lncRNA from 1 species